rnacentral:tRNA from 1 species
UGGCUCAGUGGUUAGAGCGCCCGCCUCAUGAACGGGAGGUCGUGGGUUCGAACCCCGGC